rnacentral:tRNA from 1 species
GCCGUGAUCGUAUAGUGGUUAGUACUCUGAAGUGGUGGUCGCAGCAACCCCGGUUCGAAUCCGGGUCACGGCA